CACUCUUUUUUAUCUUUCUACUACCAUUGCCUCAAAUAAUGUUACAUAAAUUCAUUUUUAUCUCAAUUAAACCAUGUCUUUCUUCUAUUUCUUAAAUUUUACUAGCCAUAGGAACCUAAGAGAAAUAAAAGUAAUUACAUUUCUACAUGUGCAGACCAUGAGAAUUGGUUACACUAUUUCAACCUUUCUCUUUGUUGCCAAGCCCGUCCUACUGAAGCCACUUUUCUCAUCCUCAACUCUGACUUUCAGUACUCUGUGGAGCAAAUUCUGCCAGCACCUUGCAAUAGAUCUUGUUUCCCAUGAAUACUUUUCAUCUGAGAGGCCAACACUUUUAUCAAAUAAUCCAGCCAAUAGAAAACAAUCCUGGAAGACAAGAUAAUUGCUUCUACAUGGAGGCUGAUGUCACUUUGAAAUGAGGUGAACAGAAUUCUGUGGCCCAGACAAUGCCUGAUGUUCUACUGGUGAGAAUUCUGUUCCUAAUUCAGCUCUUGUUUAUACCCAUAUUAUAGAAAUAAUGAUUUCCAAGAAUGAUGCUAUAGGAGACUGUAUGUUCAAUAAAGACAUUAAAUAUCUAUAGAUAAAUUAUCUA
rnacentral:lncRNA from 1 species